UCAUGACCAACAGAUGACCCCUAUUGAUUUUCAGGACUCUAGGUCAAAGUUCAAGGUCACAGUGACCUGAAGCAGUAAAAUGGUUUCUGAAUGAUAACUCAAGAACGCUUAGGCCUGGUAUCAGGAAAGUUCAUAGGGACAUUGGUCAUGACAGGCAGAUGACCCCUAUUGAUUUUCCGGUCACUAGGUCAAAGUUCAAGAUCACAGUGACUCGAAGCAGUCAAAUGGUCUCUGGAUGAUAACUCAAGAACGCUUAAGCCUGGGAUCAGGAAAGUUCAUAGGGACAUUGGUAAUGACUGACAGAUGACCCCUAUUCAUUUUCAGGUCACUAGGUCAAAGUUAAAGGUCACAGUGACUCAAAUCAGUAAAAUGGUUUCCAGAUAAUAACUCAAGAAUACUUAAGCUUGGGAUCAGGAAAGAUCAUAGUGACAUUGGUCAUGACCGGCAGAUGACCCUUAUUGACUUUUAGGUCACUAGGUCAAAGUUCAAGUUCACAGUGACUCGAAACAGUAAAAUGGUUUCCGGAUGAUAACUCAAGAACGCUUAAGCCUGGGAUCAGGAAAGUUCAUAGGGACAUUGAUCAUGACUGACAGAUGACCCCUAUUGAUUUUCAGUACUCUAGGUCAAAGACUCUCAUCAGCAACUCCAUGAGUCAAGCGAGCAAUUCUUCUUUAAAUUGUCAAUCAUACUCUGACGUAUUCACACAAUGGCUGCCACCACAACUGACAGCCCAUUUGGGGGGCAUGCUUGUUUUACAAACAGCCCUUGUUUAGACUUAGUGUUUAGAUGUAGUUGUUGAGCAAGUAGCUCACAGGAAGAUAAUUUUAGAUUGUAAUGUAAUAUCCACUCUGACAGCAACUAUGCUUAUGAAAUCGCAUUUCUGAUUAACAUAUUUUAUUCAAGGUGACAUUCAUUGUGAAGACAGUAUAACUUUUUGGCAGA